UCGCCCUGCGUGACGGUGUACUCGGGGUCGCCGACGAUGACCUUGGCGAGGGUGCUCUUGCCGUUGCCGUUCGGUCCCAUGAUGGCGUGC
rnacentral:tRNA from 1 species